rnacentral:lncRNA from 1 species
GCAGUAAACAACAACAAAAAAAAAAAAUACUUGAGAACUCUCACAUCAUCACCUGACUACAAUUCCACAAAUCGAGUUCUUAGCAGUAUCUUGAUCAACAGCACUCAACAAAGUCUACAACAACAUCAUGACAACCCGGGUCAAACGACGUUCUUAAACCUUAAGAGCGCUCCAGGUGAACGAAGCACCAAGAAUGUUUCUUCAGACAUGGGAGCCACGUCUCUGGACUCUCCUUGGUGCACCUGACUGAUAAACAAAGCACCAUACCUCGCCCAUCUCUUACGGCCAUGUCUUUCUUGUUUACUCUAUGACAGGCAC